rnacentral:misc_RNA from 1 species
GAUGAAGAACGUAGCGAAAUGCGAUAAGUAAUGUGAAUUGCAGAAUUCAGUGAAUCAUCGAAUCUUUGAACGCACAUUGCGCCCGCCAGUAUUCUGGCGGGCAUGCCUGUUCGAGCGUCAUUACAACCCUCAGGCCCCCGGGCCUGGCGUUGGGGAUCGGCGGAGCCCCCCGUGGGCACACGCCGUCCCCCAAAUGCAGUGGCGGUCCCGCCGCAGCUUCCAUCGCGUAGUAGCUAACACCUCGCGACUGGAGAGCGGCGCGGCCACGCCGUAAAUCACCCAACUCUUCUGAAGUUGACCUCGAAUCAGGUAGGAAUACCCGCUGAACUUAAGCAUAUCAAUAAGCGGAGGA